rnacentral:rRNA from 1 species
AUUGAACGCUGGCGGCAGGCUUAACACAUGCAAGUCGAACGAUGAUUAUCCAGCUUGCUAGAUAUGAUUAGUGGCGGACGGGUGAGUAACAUUUAGGAAUCUGCCUAGUAGUGGGGGAUAGCUCGGGGAAACUCGAAUUAAUACCGCAUACGACCUACGGGUGAAAGGGGGCGCAAGCUCUUGCUAUUAGAUGAGCCUAAAUCAGAUUAGCUAGUUGGUGGGGUAAAGGCCCACCAAGGCGACGAUCUGUAACUGGUCUGAGAGGAUGAUCAGUCACACCGGAACUGAGACACGGUCCGGACUCCUACGGGAGGCAGCAGUGGGGAAUAUUGGACAAUGGGGGCAACCCUGAUCCAGCCAUGCCGCGUGUGUGAAGAAGGCCUUUUGGUUGUAAAGCACUUUAAGCAGGGAGGAGAGGCUAAUGGUUAAUACCCAUUAGAUUAGACGUUACCUGCAGAAUAAGCACCGGCUAACUCUGUGCCAGCAGCCGCGGUAAUACAGAGGGUGCGAGCGUUAAUCGGAAUUACUGGGCGUAAAGCGAGUGUAGGUGGCUCAUUAAGUCACAUGUGAAAUCCCCGGGCUUAACCUGGGAACUGCAUGUGAUACUGGUGGUGCUAGAAUAUGUGAGAGGGAAGUAGAAUUCCAGGUGUAGCGGUGAAAUGCGUAGAGAUCUGGAGGAAUACCGAUGGCGAAGGCAGCUUCCUGGCAUAAUAUUGACACUGAGAUUCGAAAGCGUGGGUAGCAAACAGGAUUAGAUACCCUGGUAGUCCACGCCGUAAACGAUGUCUACUAGCCGUUGGGGUCCUUGAGACUUUAGUGGCGCAGUUAACGCGAUAAGUAGACCGCCUGGGGAGUACGGCCGCAAGGUUAAAACUCAAAUGAAUUGACGGGGGCCCGCACAAGCGGUGGAGCAUGUGGUUUAAUUCGAUGCAACGCGAAGAACCUUACCUGGUCUUGACAUAGUGAGAAUCCUGCAGAGAUGCGGGAGUGCCUUCGGGAAUUCACAUACAGGUGCUGCAUGGCUGUCGUCAGCUCGUGUCGUGAGAUGUUGGGUUAAGUCCCGCAACGAGCGCAACCCUUUUCCUUAUUUGCCAGCGGGUUAAGCCGGGAACUUUAAGGAUACUGCCAGUGACAAACUGGAGGAAGGCGGGGACGACGUCAAGUCAUCAUGGCCCUUACGACCAGGGCUACACACGUGCUACAAUGGUAGGUACAGAGGGUUGCUACACAGCGAUGUGAUGCUAAUCUCAAAAAGCCUAUCGUAGUCCGGAUUGGAGUCUGCAACUCGACUCCAUGAAGUCGGAAUCGCUAGUAAUCGCAGAUCAGAAUGCUGCGGUGAAUACGUUCCCGGGCCU